CGCGCGCAGGCGAUCGGGGCAGAAGAGCUUCCGGUUCCUGCUGUCAAUAAGACGUGGACCUGCGAGCCGGGGCAAAAGGGCUUCCGGUCUGCGGGAAACUGGAGGCUAGCGGUGGGCGUGGACCGUCGAGGUGACUGGCGGUUGUCGGAUCUGCUGUUGUUUGCUGACCAGGCAGCCGUAGGAAGACUUGACUGAGCCAGGCUCAGGGGAUGUGCCAGGCUCUGGGGAUACUAUGAAAGCUAAAAGAUACACAAUCCCAGCUGUCAUGGAGCAAAGAGUUUACGAGAGAGAGACUGAUGCUAAUCAAAGAAGGACACUAACAAAUGAACCAUUGUAUAGCUUUGCCAAGGACCGUGAAGGAGAGAGACACAGCUCUGUGAAGGGGCUUUGAUGUAGGGAGGCAGCAGACGUGCAGCUGAAGCUGUCUUGGAGCCUCUAGACCAGCCCAUCCACCUGCUGAAUACCAGUGAGUGACCUACGUCAAAGCUACUAGAAGUGGAAUUGCCAGCUGAGCCCUGCCUAAAUUUCUGAGCCACACAAUCGUGAGAUACUAUAAAGUGGUAGGUUUUAUAGCAGUGUGUUACCCAGCAGUAUGGACCUGGAACAGACUACAGCACUAGUCCUGCUUUCCCUCUCCCAGUCAAUACAAAGACAGGGAUGACCUCUGCUCUGAGAGUAGCUCCUAAGCAUGUGUUUUGUGUCAUGGUGAUGGUCAAGCCCUCAGACUCUAGAGUCGUACAGACCCAAGGUCAAUUCUUACCCUCUCUACUUCGUGGCUUUGUAAAAUAGGGAUUUUUACAGGUUCCAUUCAGAGAGAUGUUGAGAAAGAUUGAGUGAGAUGCAUUUAUGUAAAGCACUUAUGCAGUGCCUGCCACAAUAAAUGCUUGCUAAAUGUUAGCUUUCAUUUAAACCAUGAGUUUUUCUCUCAAUGGACGGCAAAUCGUCACAUUCUGUGUAAAAUGAGUCUGACUUCACAAA